rnacentral:rRNA from 1 species
UCCAGACUCCUACGGGAGGCAGCAGUGGGGGAUAUUGCACAAUGGGGGAAACCCUGAUGCAGCGACGCCGCGUGGGCGAAGAAGUAUUUCGGUAUGUAAAGCCCUCUCAGCAGGGAAGAAGAAAUGACGGUACCUGAAGAAGAAGCCCCGGCUAACUACGUGCCAGCAGCCGCGGUAAUACGUAGGGGGCAAGCGUUAUCCGGAUUUACUGGGUGUAAAGGGGGCGCAGACGGCGAUGCAGGCCAGGAGUGAAAGCCCGGGGCCCAACCCCGGGACUGCUCUUGGAACUGCGUGGCUGGAGUGCAGGAGGGGCAGGCGGAAUUCCUGGUGUAGCGGUGAAAUGCGUAGAUAUCAGGAGGAACACCGGUGGCGAAGGCGGCCUGCUGGACUGCAACUGACGUUGAGGCCCGAAAGCGUGGGGAGCAAACAGGAUUAGAUACCCGCGUA